GGAUAACCUGCCCUUAGGUCUGGCAUAACCCCGGGAAACUGGGGAUAAUUCCGGAUAGAUCAUCGAUGCUGGAAUGCGCUUUGAUCCAAAGCUAUUGUGCCUAAGGAUGGGUCUGCGGUCUAUCAGGUCGUAGUGGGUGUAAUGUACCUACUAGCCUACGACGGAUACGGGUUGUGGGAGCAAGAGCCCGGAGAUGGAUUCUGAGACAUGAAUCCAGGCCCUACGGGGCGCAGCAGGCGCGAAAACUUUACAAUGCGGGGAACCGCGAUAAGGGGACACCGAGUGCCAGCAUCCUAUGUUGGCUGUCCAUAUGUCUAAAUCACAUGUGUUAGCAAGGGCCGGGCAAGACCGGUGCCAGCCGCCGCGGUAACACCGGCGGCUCGAGUGGUAACCGUUAUUAUUGGGUCUAAAGGGUCUGUAGCCGGCCGGAUAAGUCUCUUGAGAAAUCCAGCAGCUCAACUGUUGGGCUUUCAGGAGAUACUGUCUGGCUCGAGGCCGGGAGAGGUGAGAGGUACUUCAGGGGUAGGGGUGAAAUCUUGUAAUCCUUGAAGGACCACCAGUGGCGAAGGCGUCUCACCAGAACGGACCUGACGGCAAGGGACGAAAGCUAGGGGCACGAACCGGAUUAGAUACCCGGGUAGUCCUAGCCGUAAACGAUACUCGCUAGGUGUCGGCCACGGUGCGACCGUUGUCGGUGCCGUAGGGAAGCCGUGAAGCGAGCCACCUGGGAAGUACGGCCGCAAGGCUGAAACUUAA
rnacentral:rRNA from 1 species